rnacentral:rRNA from 1 species
CGGGACGGGGGAGUAAUGCUUGGGAAUCUGGCUUAUGGAGGGGGAUAACUACGGGAAACUGUAGCUAAUACCGCGUAGUAUCGAGAGAUUAAAGUGUGGGACCUUCGGGCCACAUGCCAUAGGAUGAGCCCAAGUGGGAUUAGGUAGUUGGUGAGGUAAAGGCUCACCAAGCCGACGAUCUCUAGCUGGUCUGAGAGGAUGACCGGCCACACUGGGACUGAGACACGGCCCAG